CCUGCCAGAUCCUUACGUACAUUCGCGUAGAUUAACUUUUGAUACGAGACCUCCUCAGUCUACGUUGGAACCUCGAUUCGUACGCCCGAGCUGGGACACGUUGUACGCUUUCGGGUAUCAAAUUUCUAUUAGUGACAGCGAAUUACUUUAGUCUACAGCGUAAGUUUUAGAGCGGGACAGGGUACUCGCGCAGCUGUAAAGUCGACGAACAAGUAGCCAGCCAGAGAACAAAAGAUCGGCCCAGCACUGGUGCGCCAACAGGGGGGAAAAUAAACGAGCAAACGAUCCAGAGAAGCGCACAACGGUAUAGCUUGUUAACUAUUAAUUAAAGAUGCGUUCGCUACUAGCGAUCGUAGUUCUAAGUUUCUGGAUUUCGUGCAUUUGUGCUUAUCCUGCGAACGGUAUGACCAAGAAUAAUCUGAAUCGGGAGUCCAUCUACUUUCCCGACCAAGCAGAAUACCUACGGCAUUCCAUGAAAUGUUCCAAGAACGAAAUUUUGUGGCCAUUUUAUGGAUAUAUUCGUCGGUGUUACAGAGAAGGCGAACAAGGUCCCUGCAAUAUCGGCAGAAUUUUGGUCUUUGAUAAGAAAUACUUGAAACCUGUUUGCAAAGACGUGACAUUGAAAUAAACAACCGAGGGUUGCAGAUACUGCUCUUACCGAUUCGACGGAAUUCUGCCAAAGAUGUCAGCAGGAAUACAGUUGUUGCGCUCCAUAUACUCGGAAUAUACUUUUUAGUAUAGAGUAACGAUAAUUCAUUUUUAUAUUCAUAUUUUGUAUUCGUACUUAUAUAUUGUAUGUUUAUAAUAUACGAUAUAUGUAAUAUAAUAAACAUAAUAGUUUCACCUCAUUCAAUUUUAACUCUUAUUUCAUUUAUAAAGAGAAAGUAACUUUGUGAUAUGUCUGACUGCAUAGUAUACUGGACUAAUUUAAUAUGAUAUGUCAAUAUGGAAUGUUUGGCAAUAUGUAAAAUUCGACAUAUUUGUAGAAUUACAAAUUAUUUCAGAAAUUCUAAUAUCGAUUGAUUUGCCACUCCAGUAAUUUAUUUACCUAGUUCGAUAUAUUCAUGUACGUGUAACUUACACUUUAAUUUGUUCAUAUGUAUAUGUAAUAUUUUCCAUGGUUCUAUAAUAGUAUCUCUUUUAUACUGUGUCAAUAAUAAAUCAUUGAAAAAUAGAAUUUGUUGUGAAUUAAAUUUGCUACCAAUCUCGUCUUCAAACAAUUAAAAUAAUUUAAUUAGUACAAUAACAAAGGAUAUAUCCUAUGUUAUACCCCUAUUGUAGCGAAAUAUUUGUAUUUUUUGUUUUUGUUAUAAAACUAUACUCAUGGUAAAGGAAUUAGAAAAAAGUACGAAAAGGAAGAAAUACAAAAAUACAACGAAAUUAAACAGUUGGAUAAAAUAUUAGUCGGUUAUUUCGUUUUUGCGAAAAACUUAAAUGAUACAAAGAUAUAUUUGAUAACAAACGACAACAGCAUAUUUUUUAUCUUUUUCUAAUCAAUUUUCAUUCAAUCCAUCAAAGUACAUCGAAUACACGUUCGACCUGCAUACCCAAAAUACCUGGAGAACCCAAAAAACCUGUAAUGAGAAAAACUUGGAUUCGAUACCUACCUCUCCUUUCUUUGUUCAGCCUUUUGUAAAAUUAUAUUCAAAUUAUCAGAUGUUUGUAUCUUAUCAACCUUAUUGGAAAACAAUAGGUGCAAAUAGUUAGUUUCAUACAAAAAAUCAAAAUUUAUUUGUUUGGUCAAAAAAAGCUUCUUAUUUUUAUAAAAUUAAUAACAAAUAUAGUAAAGUGUAGUGUUUUGGAAGAUGCUCUACUACAAUGUGAUAUAAAUUGUACAUUUUCAUAUAAUUGAAGUUAUUAUAAUUUCAUAGUUAUGUUUGGAAAGAUAUUUACAAGUUUUAGUAAUUUCUAAUGUAUGUUCGAACAAAUCUAUACAUUUACCGAUGUUUUCACUAUUUCAAUCAUUUUUGCUACACUGGAAAGCUGCCAUUUGCCAUUAACGUAUCCGUAUGCAGAAAAUUAUUACAGAAUAUCCCUCAUUAGUAUCCAUCUUUUUCAAUAAAUGUAUAUUAAAAAAUUCUAUAUUGUUACAUUCUCGUCAUUUAUCAUGAGAUAAUCAACCGUAGAUAAUCAUAAUACACGCUGAAAUAUGCUCCAGUUGAUCUAAAUACAUCAAAAUGUUGCAAAUUAACUUGUAAAGGUAAUUUUCUUUUUCGAAAUGUAUUGUUUUAACAUAACAUUAAAAAUAACGGAAUAUAGAAUAUAAAUUAUUUGAACCAAUUAAAUGAUUGCCCUUUGAGAAUUUGUCAAAUGAAUCAUAUAGACCGUAUAUAUUAGACCAGAUAUUUUGUGCAAGAGUUAAUUGGCUAUAUUUAAUACUAUACUUAAACUAUCGCUAUCAGCGUGCACUUAAAUUAUUAAGUAAGCCCGAUACAAACUUACAUCUUCUUUCAAAUACACGUUGUUUACAAUUUCUACGUUGAUUAACUAUUUCCUAACUAUGUUUUCUUCACUGGAAAAACUAAUUUUUUAAUAUUUCCAAAACUUCUGUAUACGUAUGCAAAUAAAUAUGUUUUUUCAAUUGACACUCAUUCUUUAAAAUUUCUUUUGUUCAUUUCCUUGUUUUCGCGAUGCAUACGUGCUUCGAAUCGCAAGUUGUCUACGAUUCACCCUAUUUUAAGAAUGAUUGCAACCAGAUAAUAGGCACGAUAAUCUCAUCGGGCUUUCGAUCUUGAGUGUGGUACGCGUACAAACAAGAUACAAUCGAGUUUACUCUGCAGAAUCCCCUAGCGCACUUCUCUAUUGAGAGACACCAAUACCCACGGUGUAAUAUAGCCUGAUCGAAAUGUACUUUCUUCCCUGGCAUUGGUAAUUGCUUGCUUACGGCAACUACAUAUUUCUAACUGUGUUUCUCCAAUUAUUGAGUAAUUCGGAAAAGUAAAUCGGCGAUUCCAUGCACGCAAACCAUAUGAUAUCUCGUGUACAUUAUAUACUAACAUUUUAUUUCAUUGAAUGAUAAUAAAGAACCGGAAGAUAAAAUAGUAUCAGUAGGAAAUAACUAAAAGUAUAUAUAUAUAUUGUACAGUAUUAAGUAAUGAAAUUUAAUAAUUUGAUCGCAUUUAUCGAAACAACAGUAUAUUCCCAUUCCAAUCUUGUUACUAUAUUUACGACAUUCUUAUACAAAAUAACGUGAAUAAUUGAUUAAAAAUAAUUCGUUUUCUUAAAGUAUAUAUAAAAGGUAUAUAUAUAAAAUAUACAGGAGAAACUUAGAUCCUGUACCUAGAAACAGAAAUAAUUUAGAUAUCAUUUUAUAUUUGAUUAUCAUAAUAUAUUGUUGAUGAUAAUUUAUAAUUAAUAAGCAAGCAGAGAAACGAACUUAUUGCUACUAUUUAUAAAACGCUCCAAAAUUAGUCCCUUGCGUGCACAAUGUAAUUAAUGUUUCUAGAAAUGUCAAAUAUUCCUGUGUCUAUUUUUUUCUUAAAAUAAAUUACCUGAUCCGUUUUAGAAUGAAACAUGCAACGAUGACGAGUAAAUAAUCAUUUUUUAUUUGAAGAAAUUAAUGAAAUUAAAUUCAGACUUAUUAUACUAUAAUUUACAUAUUUGUACAUUUAUAGCUAUAUCUAAACAUAAACAAUAUCAUGUAAAUUUUAAGGUGGAAAUUUUUGUCUCCUUUCAGUUAUUUUGUCAUCCUCAUUCUGUAUGGAACGAAAAUACGUCAACGAUAUAAGCGAGCUAUUACGGUUCAAUGUGCGUGCGUCAUGAUUAACCGUGACUGUCGCACGGUCUGAUCACAUAAGGGUUACACUACUGUAGUAAGUGUCUUAUGAAAGAGUACAUAUUAAGAUAAAUUCAUGUAUUUUAGAGCAGACAUAAUUAAAGCGUUCUAGUUUAAAUUAAACUAUUAUAACCAUAUGUAUUUAAAUUUUCAUUUGCAAAUAAAAGUGAAAGCUCUUAAAGUUAUAUGUACGCAUUUUAACAUUUCAUAUUUCCGUGAGUAUUAGAGACACGUUCGCUUGUAUGAAUGAUGUAACUAUUAAUUCUAGAGCUACUACGAAAUUAAAGCCAAAAUAUUCUGUUACUUGAGCAACUACUGGUUCUUCUCUCUUUUACACAAAUUUACGUAUUUAUCGUUAUUAAACUAAAUUAAAUACCAGACAUUUCUCUGGCAAACUUCAGAAGUGCAAUAUUUUGAUCUCUUUUUCAGCAGCAAGCAAUACAUAAACAAUUUCCUUUAUCCAAAAAUUUUCUUUUAACCCUGCUGUUCUCUGCACCUGUUUUAUAUGAUCCAAAUAAAAAUUACAUUUUAAUAAAUAUUGCAUUUUAGUAGAUAUUACUAAAGUACGAGUAGCGUAUAAAUAUUUCGUUUGUGUUAUUCGAUACAUAUUUUGUAUUUGUAUAAAAAUCUGUAUAUUUAAAAUAAUAUAUAUAUUUGUAAAUUUCAUUACUUUAUGUGUAUGUUAUACUUUUCGGUUAGAAAUUUGGAAAAAAUAUCGUCUGAGGAUACAAGAGUGAAAAAUAAGCGAAAAAAGACAAUAGGGUUGAUUUUGUAAUGAAUUAACAAAUUCCUCCAACGUUAAAUGGCCGUAUUAUUAAUAAUUUCCUACUUGUUGCGUCACCGUAUGUUACAACAAUAUAUAUUUAAUAGAAUUUAAUUUCCUCCAAAAAUACAUCAAAGUACAUACACGUUACUUCAUUUUCAUUUUUUUCGGCCAGCAGCGUACACGAAAGGUUUCUCACCUCUGAGGUAGCUUGUACGUAUGCGGACAAGAAGAACGGGUGAGAUUUCCUCUCGAGACUCGCAUAAUUCUCGUUACGUACCAUGUAUUUAAAUCACGCACUGCUGUACAUCAUUCAGCCUGGUGAAUCUCCGAGAUCCAACGAGAAGCUUACAAUGGACCUUGGUUCAAAAUGCAACGUCCCGGCGCUUUUUCGGCUAGUGAGAUUUAAAUCUUUGGAUUAAAAGGAGCAACAAAAAACUCUGCCGGAGAUAUUCUCCCUUCGCCUGGCAGGAAGCUGCGAUUUCUAUAGUCGUUUAUUCAUUCGACUUGCUGCACCGGCGGUCUGUGAUGGAAUUUGUUUUCCGGAGGGAACUAAAUCGUGUACAGAUUCGCCGGCCGUGUUACGCCUGAAACAAAUGUAAGCCAUUGGAUUACGAAAAGCGGCGGUCAAGGCGAACCACCGGCCAGUGGCCAUGCUGGACCGCUUGGCUCUUCCUUAACCCUUUUGCUAGGAUACUUAUAUAUGUACAUUAACGCGUUGAAGUCGAGAUGAAUCUCCGCCUCGUACAAGGAUUUAUGCGGUGGAGGAAAGAAGUCGGGCGUUCACAAUGCGAUCGUUUGUCACGGAGUGCUGUCGUCGAGCCGCUUUUUAUAUCCGCACGUCGGCGAUGACAACACGCGGCUCAACUCGUGGGGACCGAAGUUAACGAUGGAAACCUAGCCACCGAUUCUUUGCAGGGAACAUCUGCAUUCUACAAGAUACCCUCCGUUUCACUGAUAUGAUACAGAGAUUCAAAGAUUUAUAGGGUGUUUGGCAACGGAUCAUCCGAUCGACAAAGGACCAACCAUCUGUGGAAAAUGGAUUUAAAAUACACAAUAGAAGUAUUUUUCUACUUUUGACAAACUAACUCGAUACGUAUAUCAUAUUGUGGUGUAAUUGAAUUAUAUUUUCGGGAAUUUAUUGUUAAUUACCAUUUUUGAAGAUUAUAACAAAAUAUAGCAUAUGAUCUUGGUAUUGUAAACGUAGUGUAAUGAAUUACGCUAGUACUAAAUAAUAA